rnacentral:rRNA from 1 species
UGGCCCCAAGUCAGGCGAGGCCACCCGC